UAUUGCUCCGUGGAAAAGUUUGAAUAACAAUGGCGGAAUGUAGUUUUAAGGUUAAAAUGGAUUUCGAAGAGCUGUUGAGAGAAUCGGGUGUUCCUUUAAGAGCCACAAUACAGCAAAGAGCUGAGGAAGAGAAAGCAGAGAAGCCCGGAGAAGAGGCGGCAGCCUCAGACUCUGCUGCGAGCUGGUGGAGGACGCAGUAACCUCGGCUGCCACCCAAGCUUCGUAUCGUAUAUGGACAGCGGAGUCCUGGAUACAUAUUUUUAGAAUCGUAAACUUCAUCAUAUUCACUAUACAGUAUGCGGUUUCGGCCGCAGCCUGCCUGUGUGAACACGGUAUUGAAAAACUAUAUAUAUUGAGCAUUAUUUCAUACUAAAUCCGAUGGAAUAUUAAUAUUUCUCAUAUAGCCUACGUUUGUGCACAAAACUGCAAAUGGAUUUUAUAUUCUGAAUGCUUGAAUCAACGCGAGCUCUCUGGAGAAUGUGCAUUUUCACAUACAGAUUACCAUGGUUAAUAAAUGGUCAGUAGAUGACAUGUCACAAACCCCAUUGAUGCAAAAAGACUUGUUGAAGAACAUGGAAACAUCUAAAUAAAAUGGCCCCAAACAUCAUCAGGAGUGCAAAAGAAGGAAGUAAAAAACAUCUCUACGCCAAUCUCAUUGGAACAGCAGAGGAAACCACAGAAGAAAGAAAGCCGUGAACGUUUGAAAUAACGAGAACCCAAAGGUCCCACACCAACCAUAGUGUUCAACGGCUUUCCUGAUCUUCUCAACUUAAGCCCAAAAGUAUCAACUUUAUAAUGGACAAUGUGAACAUAAUAUGUGGAAGACAUUGACAUCACAGGCUGUGGAAU